CUGGCGGCAAACGCCAUACUCAAUCACAAGUGUGAUCGAGUCUGGGGACCAACUGUACAUUAUCUCGUAGGGAGGUGUGGUUUCCGUAGCCGUUGAUUGGACGGCACGAGUGUCCAUCACUCGCCAGAGAGAACCCAUGCUGCCUUGCGCGCGAUGACGUGUGUAUAUCGCGACGAGGAAAUUAUCUGCAAGAAGCCACAGAAAUUGAAGAAGCUAAAACAGUCUAGAAAUCAACAAUGGCGCCAGACGAUUUUUGCCGUUUGUGCAAGACAAAUGAGAAGGACCACCAUCUACAUAUGGACAUUCAACUGACAUGUUCGCAGUGAAAAAAGAAACAACUAUUUCGAACAGGCUGGCGUUCCUACGCAUGAUUGUAUCCUCCGUGUCGGGACAGUCAAGGAGAUGUUGUUCGCGUUGCGCCUCAGUCAUAAACAGGCUCGGAAAGGAUUCACCUAAUAUUCAGGCAAUGGGAGGAAGAAUUCAAAGACGGCAACGUCUCCAAAAGGCCACGCGAGCCAACGCCAUCGACGACACCGAGGAAUUUGAAAAAGACAUUGCCAAACCCACCGUACUCCAAGUGCCAACUCAGAUGAUGGCAGGCACUGACAAGGAGCUGGGCAUAACAAGACCAAGUGGAGCUCACCAUGCGGACAUGACAAGACAUCCUCACCUUGGUGGACACACUGCAAGAGGCAGAACUUUUUAAACAGAAACCAGGUCGCACAUCUACUGCAUUCCCUGGCUUCCGAAAUGACUUGUUGGCAAAGCUCGAUCACAAGGCACUGUGGACGUGGAUGAGCAGCAAACUGAAUGAAUGGUGCAGUGUCCUUUGAGUUAUUUGUACUGUUUGUCUAGCCAGGUAACACCCAUGCUGCCUUACAGGCGACCGUCAAUGUUGGUACGGCGUCUUCAAAAAGGUGAAUGCCAAAAUUAUUAAAAUAAGUUUUACUUAAUUACUUUCCUAUUUUCUUGCUUUGAAAUAGUUUGUUAUUCUUGUUUGUUAUUCUAAGUCAUUGUCCUUCAUUAAAAUCAUUUCCUUUA